ensembl:lncRNA
UGGACCCCUCACUGUAAGAAAGACAUUGAGGCCCUGGAGCGUGUCCAGAGAAAGGCAACAAAGCUGGUGAGGGGUCUGGAGCACAGGCCUUAUGAGGAGUGGCUGAGGGAACUGGGAUUUAGCCUGGAGGAGGCUCAGGGGACACCUUGUUGCACUCUACAACUUCCUGAAGGGAGGUUGUGAUGAGGAGGGGUUUGGCCUCUUCUCCCAGGAAACAAAUAGGACCUGAAGAAAUGGCCACAAGUUGCACCAGAGGAGACUUAGAUUAGACAUAAGGAAAAAAUUUUUCUCUCAGAGGGUGGUCAGGCACUGGAAUGGCCUGCCCAGGGAGGUGGUGGAGACACUGUCCUUGGUGGAGUUCAAGAGAUGUCUGGACAAGGUGCCAUGAGAUAUGGUUUAAUAGCUUAGUGGAUAGUAAUGGUGAUAGAAGGAUGGAUGGACUACAUGAACUUGUAGGUCCUUUCCAACCUUGUGAUUCUAUGAUUCUAGAUGCGGUACUAAGGGAACAUGGUUUAGUGGGGAAACACUGAUAGUAGUUGACAGUUCAACUAGAUAAUCUUGGAGAUUACUUUUCCAACCUCAGUGAUUCUAUGAUAUCAGUCUCAUUUCAAGUUUUACUGUGCAGCUUUCCCUCUUCUGUCUGCAGUGUGUUCCACAGUACCUGCACAUUCAGAGGGGACCCAAGUGAGUUAGCCUUUGAUGUGCAGGUGUAUUGGCCUUCAGGUGUUCAUUUGCAUUACGCACAUAUCUAUCUUAAGUCUGUAUGUACCACAUCUAUCCAUACCUAUAUCUCUCUCUAUAUCUGUAUCUAUAUCCUCUAUAUCAUUUAUCCAUCUUAACUUUCCUUUAGCAACCUUACUUCAGUUUUACUGAUGAGUUUGCUCAAAUCAGGGUGAUGCGUACUAGACAGACAGAAAUUUGGUCAGACCUCAGAACACUAGAAACCUCCUGAGGUCCCUUCCAACCUCUAGUCCUGUGAUCAGGAGGAACAGAAAGCCAAGGCAUGGAAAAGGAAAGAACAGGAUCCAUUUAGACCCAGAAGAACUGUGUCCUCAUUUCAUGGUGCUGCCUUAUAAUCUCUGCACUCUAAAAGAAAAAGUGCAGAAGCAGUAGGUAAGCACACAGGACAAUCUCCUUGCAAAAUAAGUAACAACCACAAACGCUUCAGUACAGAGGAAGUCCCUGAAGCACAGGGAAAUCCAGCAACAAUCCCAACACUGGCAAAGAGGAAACGUGUAGAAGUCUAUCUAUGGCUUUGCGCUCCGGGAAGGUGCAAAUAAUCAUUAGGAAAGUAUUUCUUCAUCAUACAUUUAUACAUUAGCACUUUGAAGAUGCCAAAUCUGUCUGUCCCAUAAGAGAAAUUGUAAAGGCUUCAAAAUGUAACAUAUUUAUGAAAUACUGCUUUAUCUUGAUGUUAGGAUCUUCCCAGAACUAAACAGUUCCAGUUUUCCCUUAAUUUAAUUUCUCCCUCUCUCAGAUUUCUAGGAAGCCUAUAAUCAAUCUGGAGAUGUAAUUCUACCAAAUACAGUGUAUCAGUGUGCCCGGGAGGGAUCCACGUAGAGUACUAUUGUAUCAGACUUCCUGGAUAUAUAGUUUCAUGCUUAUUUAGCCAUUUAAAGUAAGCGAGGGGAGGAAUGAAUAAGUAGAAUCUCAGAGGUAAAUGUUACCUAUUAUUAGCAGCUCUGCUGUCACCUCAGUGAUGUAUUAGAGGACGUGUUACAUCCUGUUUGAAAAAAAUAUUUUCUACAUCCCAGUCUCAAUGGCAUAAGAUAAAACAGAUUAGAAAAAAGAAGGUGGAAAAAGGUAAAGCCUUGUCAAUACCAUGUAAUGGUAAGAGCAAUGCAGCUGGUAAGUCACCUGGGUAUUUAUAGCUAUUUUCCCAGAGAGAAGCACUAUUAGUAAACUCCACUAAUAAACAAUAGCUUAUUGCAGUAAGAGAAAUAACAUACUGAUUUCAUUUUAAAUAGUGUCUUUGAUCCCCAACUGGGGAAAAAAAAAAAAAAGGCAUUAAGAUUUUAUGGCCUCCAUCCUAUUCAUCCUGCUUAUUGGUUAUUUAAUGGGAAGGGAUAAACCUGUAUCUCUGGAAAACUUAAGACCACUUUGCACUUCUGUAUUCCUUCUUAUUGCAAGGUCUCUGCAGGGUCUGCAUACAGUGCUGUAGGGUGACUCAAUUUAGUUCCAGUCAUUGAUAUGAUAUGACAUUACGUCUCCUAAUGUUUGUGUUAUAUUAGAUCCUUAUAUAUUAAGAUCUCCAUUGUGCUAGAUGCUGUAGAGAGAUUUAUCAGAAAAGUCAGUCCAUAGUCCAGACAAUCUAUAGCCUAGGUCAGAGAGGGCAAUGGAAAACUUAGCUAGCCAUUAGAUCCAGUGAAGUUCACAAACACAGCAAUAGAAUUGAAACAACUAAACAAAUGCACACAGGAAGUCUGUGGAAGAUUAAGGCACAAAUAAUCUCUGGGCUCAGUUCUGCUAUCCCACAGGACAAAUUUGGAAAAGUUCAGUUCUGUGCGUGGGUGAUGAACCAACAGAAAGUAAUACACUGGGUUACAUUCCCCAGGUGUCAGGCUCAUCUAAGAUUUACAAAUGGUUAGCUUUAGAUCAGAAUGUUCUAGGUUGUAACAAACUAUUUAUUAAAAUAACUCGAGGAAUCAGAGAAUUAUUGCCUUGAGUCAAAUUUUUCCUUUAGAGAGUAGUUCCCUUUCAGACUGAAGUCUACUUAGUAAAUAUAUAGUACUUUUUGUGUGAAUAGAUGUUCAAACUAAGCAGAGGUUUCUUACCUCUGAGUGACAUGGCAGUAGGAUUAAACUGGUCAGAUGUCUCAGCUGCAUGUUCUACGCAGGUUUUUUUAGUUUGGCCAGAAAUUAAUGGAGGGGAUGCCACCCCAACAACACUCACUUGUCUGAACCAGAACACCACUGUUACAGAAGGGCACCUGUACUGAGCCAACCUCCCUAUGUUUGGGUAAUCUCGCUAUAAAGAAAAGCUCUAAAAUUCUCUCUUUAAAUCAGCUUUAUAUCUCUUGCAGCCCGAAGAAAGGCAGGAGGUAUCUAUUGUAGGCUAGCAUCUGACUCUUACUGAUUAAAUAUCUUGUAGUUUGAAUAUUUAACCAGACCUUGUCCACAGCACUACAGAUUCCUGGCUCUAGAAAUAAUUUAAGCAAACAUGAUUUCUCCUGCAGUGUGGUGUUAGACUAGAAGACUGAUAUGAAGAAGGAAAAAAAAUUAAAUUUAGUUGAAUAGAUAUUCUAAUCAUUUUCAAAUAUGAGCAAGAUCCAGUAACGAUUUUAAAUAUUAACAUUAAUCUUCCUAGCAGUGUGUGCAAGGGAGUUACACCUCUCAUCCACAUUCAGAAAAAGAUGUUUUUGUUUGCCAGUUCUCCUAUUACUUUGGCCUCUGUAAUAACAAGUAGUGCCCUCUCAAAUUAUGAUUUCUGCUACUAGAAAACUAUGAUGCAGUUGCUGUCACUGAAACCUGGUGGGAUGGUUUCCACAAGUAGAGUGAGGCUAUCAUCAUGUACAAGCUGCUCAGGCUACCUGGGGCUCUAAGCAAUCUGAUCAAGCUGUACACAUCCCUGUUCACUGUAGUUAGACUAGAUGACCUUUAAGGGUCCCUUCCAACUCAAACAACUCUGUGAUUCCAUGACAUAUUCCUAAGAAAUGUAUGCAUGUACAUGUGGCUUAAAUGGCCUUUUUUUAUUUUUAAAAGACCAGGCUUAAUGUUACAUCUGAAUUAAAGCAAUCUUCAGUUUUAAGAAGCUUUUGAUUUCUUUGAAAGUGGAUGGAUUUAUCAAGCCAGAGCUGGAACAAAAUUAAUUGUGAACCUUAAAAGAGAGAGAGAGAUUAUGUUUCCAAAACAUGAGGACAAGUAUGACCUUACUGUAAAACUAUGUACUUUAGCCUCUGGGUAAAAGUGGUGCAUGAGAGGUUUAUUUAUGUUUAGGUGUGUAAAUAAACAGCAAGCCUUUGGACACUCUUCUAAUAUUUCAAAUGGAGUCUGCCAGCAGUCUUUUAUUUCUGUUACAGCUUCAGGACAUUAAGACCACGGAAACACAGCUAAAUUAGAUGUUGCAAAUGCAGAAGAAUUCAUGGCACCUCUUGCUUUCACAUCAGAGGGCCCUGAUUCAGUUGAGCAGUGCUUUAUUUAAAAGUACGGCCAGAAAUGCUGCAUCAUGGGCCAGGAGGAAUACAGCCAAGAAGAAACCUGACUCUAACUUAAGGUUCAGGCAUUUCAUUAGAAAAGGAAGAAAAAAAUAACAGGGAUGCCAGCACUCAUCCCUAGUACUUGUGCACAUUAUAUAACUAUUAAAACAGUCCUGAGAGCAGGGUAAGGGCCAUAAAGUCCACCAUUAUUAAGGACUCACAUGAGAAGACAACUAAAUAUGUACAGUCUUUUUCUGCUUGUAAUAGCUCUGUGAAAUACAGUUUCAAUAAAUCUUAAGUCCUUUCUCAAGCCUAUAGGUUAUGCUGUUGUAACUUUUUUUUUUUAAUUAACACUUGAUUCCUGUUAGGACCUUUUGAAUAUGUUAUCAAGUGCUUGGUUCCCAACCAAAUCAUCACCUUCUAGCUAUUGCACAUUUGGAAGACAGUUUACGUAGGCUAUUUAUUAAGGAAAUACAAGUAAGUACACUCAUUUUAAUCAUCUGCCAACACCAAAUAUGAUGCAACACCAAAGGUUAAAAUAAGAUGCAGAGGAAACAUUUCGUGUAAAAUUUUUAGAGUGUAGUUAUCAGUGUACUCACAGAUCUACACUUACUGCUACUUCAUAUCUGAUACCUAUCAUUCAAAUAACUAAAUAUAACUCCUGCUACUCUCAAAGAGAGACAUACUAAGUAAACAAGGAAGAUUAAAAGUUGAAUAGGAAAUCAAAGGAAAAAGGAGCAAGGUGACAUACCCCCCAAAAACCAAAAAGCAGAGACUGAACCAGUAAGACAUUUUAUGUUUACAACACCCCACUCAGUGCCUAGUAUGCUAUAUGUAGUUCCAUAUCUGGAUAUGUUUUGCCUUGACAUACAUAAAUUCCAUAAAAUCACUGUUUAUAUAAAGUGUUCCCUUUCAUGUAAUUAGGCAAACUAUUAAUUUUGUACCAUAAGAACAGUGCUUUAUAGUGCUGCAGGACUCACUGACUUGCCUUCCAAAGAAAAACAUAAGCCUUAUUUGAUCUACAAGAAUG